ACAGACGAUCGAGGAAUCUGUCACAUGGGGCAGCUGAGUGCACGCAUGGCGGUAAAGAGAGUCUUCGGUUGUAAAGUACCUUCAAGCGGGGAAGAACGGGAGUAAGUUUAUACCUUCGCUCCAUGGACGUUACCGCCAGAAGAAAGGCACCGGCUACUUCGUGCAGCAGCGCGGUAAUACGAGGGGUGCAAGCGUAAUCGGAAAUACUGGGCCGUAAAGCGCACGCAGGCGGGUUGGUAAGUCAGAUGUGAAAUCCCCGGGCUCAACCUGGGAACUGCAUCUGAUACUGGCAAGCUUGAGUCUCGUAGAGGGGGGUAGAAUUCCAGGUGUAGCGGUGAAAUGCGUAGAGAUCUGGAGGAAUACCGGUGGCGAAGGCGGCCCCCUGGACGAAGACUGACGCUCAGGUGCGAAAGCGUGGGGAGCAAACAGGAUUAGAUACCCUGGUAGUCCACGCCGUAAACGAUGUCGACUUGGAGGUUGUGCCCUUGAGGCGUGGCUUCCGGAGCUAACGCGUUAAGUCGACCGCCUGGGGAGUACGGCCGCAAGGUUAAAACUCAAAUGAAUUGACGGGGGCCCGCACAAGCGGUGGAGCAUGUGGUUUAAUUCGAUGCAACGCGAAGAACCUUACCUGGUCUUGACAUCCACGGAAGUUUUCAGAGAUGAGAAUGUGCCUUCGGGAACCGUGAGACAGGUGCUGCAUGGCUGUCGUCAGCUCGUGUUGUGAAAUGUUGGGUUAAGUCCCGCAACGAGCGCAACCCUUAUCCUUUGUUGCCAGCGGUCCGGCCGGGAACUCAAAGGAGACUGCCAGUGAUAAACUGGAGGAAGGUGGGGAUGACGUCAAGUCAUCAUGGCCCUUACGACCAGGGCUACACACGUGCUACAAUGGCGCAUACGAAGAGAAGCGACCUCGCGAGAGCAAGCGGACCUCAUAAAGUGCGUCGUAGUCCGGAUUGGAGUCUGCAACUCGACUCCAUGAAGUCGGAAUCGCUAGUAAUCGUGGAUCAGAAUGCCACGGUGAAUACGUUCCCGGGCCUUGUACACACCGCCCGUCACACCAUGGGAGUGGGUUGCAAAAGAAGUAGGUAGCUUAACCUUCGGGAGGGCGCUUACCACUUUGUGAUUCAUGACUGGGGUGAAGUCGUAACAAGGUAGCCAAAGCAAGCGA
rnacentral:rRNA from 1 species